UACAGAGGGGGCUAGCGUUGUUCGGAAUUAUUGGGCGUAAAGGGCGCGUAGGCGGCCAUGCGUGUCUUCCGUGAAAUCCCUCGGCUUAACUGAGGACGUGCGGAAGAAACUGCAAGGCUUGAGUCCGGGAGAGGGGGGUGGAAUUCCCAGUGUAGCGGUGAAAUGCGUAGAUAUUGGGAGGAACACCGGUGGCGAAGGCGGCCCCCUGGACCGGUACUGACGCUGAGGCGCGAAAGCGUGGGUAGCAAACUGG
rnacentral:rRNA from 1 species